AUGAGACUGUGGGGUCUUCUCCUUUGCCUGGUGACUGCUCCUCAAGGUGUCCUGUCCGAGGUGCAGCUGCAGGAGUCGGGCCCAGGACUGGUGAAGCCCUCGCAGACCCUCUCCCUCACCUGCACCGUCUCUGGUGACUCCAUCACAACCAGUGGUUACUACUGGAGCUGGAUCCGCCAGCCCACGGGGAAGAGCCUUGAGUGGAUUGGAAGCAUUAGUUAUGGUGGAAGCACAUAUUAUAACCCGUCCCUCAAGAGCCGCACCUCCAUCACCAGAGACACGUCCAACAACCAGUUCUCCCUGCAGCUGAGCUCUGUGACCGACGAGGACACAGGCGUGUAUUACUGUGCGAGAGACACAGUGACAGGAAGUCAGCGUGAGCCCAGACACAAACCUCCCUGCAGGAUACAGGAGGGGUCUGGGCUGCAGGGGGCGCUCAAGGCCCACCCAGCUCCUGAGAGCAAUAACUGUGACCCACCCCUGAAGGAGGCAGCCUACUCCUGUGAGCCUUUAGAAGACCUCGAGGACGGAGAGCACAAGGCAGGCCUGGAGCUUGUGGAGCAGCAACAGUGGAACGAUGGAACGAGCUCUUGGGGUGACGAGAACCACAUCACGGGAGAGGGUGCAGGGAAAGAAAGCAGGCGGUGCUGGGACCAGAACUGUGGAAGCAAGACCCAGAGCCUGAGAUUAUGA